GCCUGGGUGGCUCAGUCGGUUGAGCAUCUGACUUCAGCUCAGGUCAUGAUCUCAGGGUUCGUGGGUUCGAGCCCUGCAUCUGGCU
rnacentral:tRNA from 1 species